rnacentral:tRNA from 6 species
GGCCCCGUCGUCUAGCGGUUAGGACGCCACCCUUUCAAGGUGGAGAUCACGGGUUCGAAUCCCGUCGGGGUCACCA